rnacentral:misc_RNA from 1 species
ACCCUUGACCACGGUAUAGUCAGCGACUGGGGUGAAGUCGUAACAAGGUAGCCGUAGGGGAACCUGCGGCUGGAUUACCUCCUUUCUAAGGAUGAAUGAAAGUUAAAUUUCAUUCUAAAUAAUAUACAUCGGUAAUGUUGACCGUCCUCAUUUCUCUUCUUAAAGUAAUGUUUCCUUCUUGUAGGGCCGGUAGCUCAGUUGGUUAGAGCACACCCUUGAUAAGGGUGGGGUCGAAAGUUCGAGUCUUUCUCGGCCCACCAUACUUAACUGGGGGAUUAGCUCAGCUGGGAGAGCGCCUGAUUUGCAUUCAGGAGGUCAGCGGUUCGAUCCCGCUAUCCUCCACCAGGAAACAUUUAGUUAUAAAAAAUUGUAAAUAAAUUUAAUAAUUAAUAUCAAUAUCUAUAUCCAAACAUUAGUAAUGUUAUUAGCUAAUGUUCAAAAUAAAAAUUUGAUCACAACAUAGAUAAUUUUUCUGUAAAAAGAAUUUUUUUCUGUGCAUAAAUCAAGCGUUUAAGGGCGUGUAGUGGAUGCCUUGGCACUGAAAGCCGAUGAAGGACGUGAUAUACUGCGAUAAGUUUCGGGGAGCUGUAUGUAAGUUUUGAUCCGAAAAUUU